rnacentral:rRNA from 1 species
ACAUGCAAGUCGAGCGGAAACGACACUAAUGAAUCUUCGGAUGAUUUAAUGGGCGUCGAGCGGCGGACGGGUGAGUAAUGCCUAGGAAAUUGCCUUGAUGUGGGGGAUAACCAUUGGAAACGAUGGCUAAUACCGCAUAAUGCCUACGGGCCAAAGAGGGGGAUCUUCGGACCUCUCGCGUCAAGAUAUGCCUAGGUGGGAUUAGCUAGUUGGUGAGGUAAUGGCUCACCAAGGCGACGAUCCCUAGCUGGUCUGAGAGGAUGAUCAGCCACACUGGAACUGAGACACGGUCCAGACUCCUACGGGAGGCAGCAGUGGGGAAUAUUGCACAAUGGGCGAAAGCCUGAUGCAGCCAUGCCGCGUGUAUGAAGAAGGCCUUCGGGUUGUAAAGUACUUUCAGUUGUGAGGAAGGGGGUAACGUUAAUAGCGUUAUCUCUUGACGUUAGCAACAGAAGAAGCACCGGCUAACUCCGUGCCAGCAGCCGCGGUAAUACGGAGGGUGCGAGCGUUAAUCGGAAUUACUGGGCGUCAAGCGCAUGCAAGUGGUUCAUUAAGUCAGAUGUGAAAGCCCCGGGCUCAACCUCGGGAACUGCUUUUUAAACUGGCGGAAACAGACUGCUGU